UUCUGAGUGGUGCAGCCAACUUUGCCAGCAUCCGUCACUUUUAUUCUGUUCGUAGAACGUGUUACACUAUUUCAGUUGAAUUUAAAAGAUGUGAACUGUUACUGCAAUCGCCGGCUAAGGCAGGCUCUAAAAUACAUAUUUGAAAUUGAAAAAAUGGGACACUAUCAGUGUAGUCGUAACUAAAAUGCCACUGAAAAACCUAAGGUUAUGCAAUCAUGUAACGGGUAAUUGUAAACCUCAUGUAGACUGUCUGCCAUACAUCAACCUGGACGAGAAUACCUAAUUUAGGUGCUGGAAGUGUUGG
rnacentral:sRNA from 1 species